AGGACGAACGCUGGCGGCGUGCUUAACACAUGCAAGUCGAGCGGAAAGGCCCUUCGGGGUACUCGAGCGGCGAACGGGUGAGUAACACGUGAGUAAUCUGCCCCUAGCUCUGGGAUAGCUCCGGGAAAACCGGGAUUAAUACCAGAUACGACCACUUUAGACAUCUGUUGUGGUGGAAAGAAUUUUGGCUAGGGAUGAGCUCGCGGCCUAUCAGCUUGUUGGUGAGGUAACGGCUCACCAAGGCGACGACGGGUAGCCGGCCUGAGAGGGCGACCGGCCACACUGGGACUGAGACACGGCCCAGACUCCUACGGGAGGCAGCAGUGGGGAAUAUUGCGCAAUGGGCGAAAGCCUGACGCAGCGACGCCGCGUGGGGGAUGAAGGCCUUCGGGUUGUAACCCUUUCAGCAGGACGAAGCGAAAGUGACGGUACCUGCAGAAGAAGCGCCGGCUAACUACGCGCCAGCAGCCGC
rnacentral:rRNA from 1 species